CGAGCGGGUUCGGCCGGUUGCGUGGGUUGAACCGGUUGUGCCGGUUGUGCCGGUCGUGCAAGCUGAUCCGCGCCCGGC
rnacentral:tRNA from 1 species